GACGAACGCUGGCGGCGUGCUUAACACAUGCAAGUCGAACGACGUGGCGAACGGGUGAGUAAUACGUGGGUAACCUGCCCUCCUUUUUGGGAUAAGCCUUGGAAACGGGGUCUACUACCGCAUAAAGGGGGAGGGGCGCGCGGCCUAUCGGGUUGUUGGUGGGGUGAUGACCGACCAAGGCGGUGACGGGUAGCCGGCCUGAGCGGUGGACCGGCAACUGGGGGAAGGGGAGACGGCCCAGGCGCGUACGCGAGGCGGCAGUGGGGGAAAUUGCACAAUGGGCGAAAGAGUGAUGCAGCGAUGCCGCGUGGGGGAUGAAGGCUUUCGGGUUGUAAACCUCUGUCGCUAUCGAACGGGUAGGUGGAGAAGAAGCGCCGGCUAACUACGUGCCAGCAGCCGCGGUAAUUC
rnacentral:rRNA from 1 species